UCUGCAGGUUGAUAUUUAAGUCUUUUGUUAAACCUCCGGGCUCAACCCGGAAUCUGCAAAGGAAACUAUCUAUCUUGAGUAUGGUAGGGGUAAAGGGAAUUUCCAGUGGAGCGGUGAAAUGCGUAGAUAUUCGGAGGAACACCAGUGGCGAAGGCGGCUUACUGGUCCAUUACUGACGCUGAGGUGCGAAAGCGUGGGGAGCAAACA
rnacentral:rRNA from 1 species